UGGCAUGCACAGCUAAGUGAUGAAAUGCGUUGAACACUGGACCUGGAGACAGUAAGACCUGGAUUCAAAUCAAGUCUUCAACAGUUUUGAUCUGGAUUUAGUCACAGCAUCCUACAAGUAGACAAUACCCAAAGAAAAUGUGUUAACUGAUUAUUGAUAUAUUACACACUGAUAUUUCUCCACUAAAACCCCAUGCUGGUGACUCAUGAUCUGGAGGUGAUAAUGGAUUCUUGGAACAAAAGAGAGUCAUUUCUUAUAAGAAAGAAUUUUAAAAGAGAAAGGAAGAAAGAAAGAAAGAAAGAAAGAAAGAAAGAAAGAAAGAAAGAAAGAAAGAAAGAAAGAAAGAAAGAAAGAAUAAAAAGGAAGAAAGAAAGAAAGAAAGAAAGAAAGAAAGAAAGAAAGAAAGAAAGAAAGAAAGAAAGAAAGAAAGAAAGAAAGAAAGAAAGAAAGAAAGAAAGAAAGAAAGAAAGAAAGAAAGAAAGAAAGAAAGAAAGAAAGACAGAAAGACAGAAAGAACGGAAGAAAGAAAGGAAGAAAGGAAGCCAGGAAGGAAGGAAGGAAGGAAGAAAGGAAGAAAGGCCAGAAAGCCAGGAAGACAGGCAGGAAGAAAGGAAGGAAGCAAGCAAGGAAGGAAGAAAGGAAGGAAGAAAGGAAGGCAACGAAGCAAGCAAGGAAGCAAGCAAGACAGGAAGAAAGGAAGGAAGAAAGAAAGAAAGAAAGAAAGAAAGAAAGAAAGAAGAAGGAAAACAUAGGAGGGAAGGAGGAAGUGAGAAAGGGAGGGAAGGAGAAAGGGAGAGAGGGAGGGGAGGAGGAAGGAAGGAAGGAAGGAAGGAAGGAAGGAAGGAAGGAAGGAAGGAAGGAGGGAAAAAGGUUUAGUUAGGCAAAUUUGUUCAUAAUAUCAAUAAAACGUGUCAUUAUGUGCA
rnacentral:lncRNA from 1 species